UAGGGAAUCUUCGGCAAUGGACGGAAGUCUGACCGAGCAACGCCGCGUGAGUGAAGAAGGUUUUCGGAUCGUAAAGCUCUGUUGUAAGAGAAGAACGAGUGUAAGAGUGGAAAGUUCACACUGUGACGGUAUCUUACCAGAAAGGGACGGCUAACUACGUGCCAGCAGCCGCGGUAAUACGUAGGUCCCGAGCGUUGUCCGGAUUUAUUGGGCGUAAAGCGAGCGCAGGCGGUUAGAUAAGUCUGAAGUUAAAGGCUGUGGCUUAACCAUAGUAGGCUUUGGAAACUGUUUAACUUGAGUGCAAGAGGGGAGAGUGGAAUUCCAUGUGUAGCGGUGAAAUGCGUAGAUAUAUGGAGGAACACCGGUGGCGAAGGCGGCUCUCUGGCUUGUAACUGACGCUGAGGCUCGAAAGCGUGGGGAGCAAACAGGAUUAGAUACCCUGGUAGUCCACGCUGUAAACGAUGAGUGCUAGGUGUUAGACCCUUUCCGGGGUUUAGUGCCGUAGCUAACGCAUUAAGCACUCCGCCUGGGGAGUACGACCGCAAGGUUG
rnacentral:rRNA from 1 species